ensembl:lncRNA
CUAGCUUAGCUAGCUAGCGCCCCUUCGUGAAAAACCACCCAGGCUUGGCUGAUAGUGAGGUGGCUAAAAUUUGUUUAAUCGCCCGAUCGCUCGGCAAGGGUCUGUGUCUUAGCUGGACUUAUUUUUCGUUUAUAUGGGCCGAUGAUGCUGGUCGAUGUGGAAAAAAUAACUGAGUUGUUUGGUGGUGGAGCUACAACAGAGGGCAGCUAUCCACCGGUGUGUGACAGAAAGGACAUGCCGCGAACGAGACAUACAAGGCGGUGAGGCUACCGCCGAUCGUCCGGUGUUUGCUAACGCGGAGGUCAAUCGUGGAUCAGGGAAAGCGAAGGCAGGAGCGUGAGGUGAACUGAAUUUCAGGUAAGAAGUUAUGACCUGCACUCUAUUUGGGUCAGAUAUAAACCGAGUUUAGG